GACCAGGUGGCAGAAUGGUUAUGCGUCGCCCCAGCAAGGUCGAAGACGCCGGUUCGAUUCCGGCCCCGGUCU
rnacentral:tRNA from 1 species